GUCUUGGCUCUGCGCGCAGCUGACAGAAGUUUGUCUCAGGCGCCGCCAGAGCUUGUGCAGGGGUGGCCGGGUCAGCGUCUCUGCUGACAGGAGCUGAGUCUCCUUUAGACUCGCCGGGGCUUGGGCUUCAGGACAACACGGGGCUGUGUCCAUGCUGACAGGAGCUGCGUUUCCUGACGACCCAGGAGACGCCAGGAGGAAAAGUGGUUCUGCAGGCUCGCCAGUUGUGAGCGUGGGCUCCAGGGAACUGAGAGGUUGAGGUCUGCACUUCCCAGCUGGCCAGCAGGCGGCACCAAGCCCACCUCUCUGAUACUUGAGGUGCAUGUGUGUUCCACUGGUGGACUUGGCUCAUGAAGGAACUUGGCUACUUGUGCCACUGAUAGAAGCUCGGUCUCUUCAGGAUCCACCAUGGUUUCAGCUUUGGGACAACACUUGGCUGAGUCCAUGCAGACAGAUCUGAACCCAGUGUCUUCAGGAACCACCAGGAGGCACCACCUUGGGAGUAAAAGGUUUCAGGAAAAUCGCUUUGCCUGGCUGGGGAAAGAAGAGGACCCCCAAAUCAUCCGAAGUCCUUGGGUCCUUGUAGCUGGUUGUAUAGAGAACUGGACACAUGCCAAAUGAGUAUUUGGCCUCCCUGCUCGAUCACCUGUAACCAAGCAUGGACAAGCCCUCUUUGAACAGUCUCCUGGAAUGCUGGAGAGGCUCUCUGGAUCUGUGUAACUGGAAGGAUCAAUCCAAGGGUUUGAAAGAAGAUACCAAGGGGGUCCUUAAUUUAGUCUGGGGAAUAUUCCACACUCCUUUCCACACUUGGGUGGAUGUCCAAACCCUCCUGAACAUCGUAUUCUCUGUGGAAGAAAAGACACUGAUUAUAACUAAUGCAACUGAAGAAGCUGAUAAGACCAAGCAAGGUAACGCAGGACAAGUUCUAUACCAGCCUUGAAUCCAGGCCAUUCCCUACAUGGACCCUUGGUGGGACCAGUAAGUGGAAAAUGGUCAGCAGCACCUCACACAUUUCAGGGAUUUGAUUCUUAAGAGCAUUCAGUUGGCUGGGAAGAAACCCUUAAAUUGGAGUAGGGUUCAGGGAGUCAUCCAGGGACUGAAGGAAACCCCCUUGGCUUUCCUGGAAUGCCUAAGGGAGUGCCUUUGUGGGUACACGAAGGUGAACCUGGAGUCAGUGGAAGGGUAGGCCAUUCUUAAGUCCCAUUUCACUUCCCAGAGCGCCCCAGACAUUAGGAGAAAAUUACAGAAGUUGGAGAUAGGGUGCACUACACCUUCUUCCUGGGGUGGAGUCAGCAUUUCGGGUGUUCAACAACCAGGAUCUGGAGGCAGAUGCCAAGGAAACUAGACCAGCGGAACCCAACUGCCAGUAUUCUGGCUUCAGUAAUUCAGGGUCAGUCAACCUCCCAGUGAUGAUGGGGCCUCCCCCAGAGGGACCCUGUGACAUCAGUGAGUCACCCCAGGUAUUGAAGACCACACCCACAGUGGAGAGAAGGGCUCAAAGCCAGUCCGUAGGGAGGAGGGCCACGGGGAAGGGGAUGCCCCAGACGUCUCAGAAGGAAGCUAAAGGGACCACUGUGUCCAGGCUCAUCCUUGCCGGUCUCACACGUGAAAGAAGAGGACUGAAGGGGCCCAGGGGCUCCUUGGAGAAGCCUUGGCUGACCCUGACUGUGGGGGUAAAACACACUUUCUAGUUCACUUUCUAGUCGACACAGGGGCCAUCUACUCAGUCUUGAACACCCGACAAGGCAGAAUGACCAAGGAUAAAUGUAAGAUAAUGGGAGUGGAAGGGAAGCCACAGGAACAUAAUUUUAUAGAGCCCCUUGAGUGCGAUUUGAAAGGGAGAAUGUUAUCUCACUCUUAUAUGUACCAGAAUGCCCAAUUCCCCUAAUAGGAAAAGACUUACUAUACAAAUUGGGAGCUACAAUUUAUCUCUGAGACAAAAACCUUACCACUGAAAAGCCCAGAAUACCCAAGGUGGAUGAUUAACAGUCAUGGGCAGCUGUUCCUCAUCAGCCACUGCACUGCAGGCCAUCCUGGAAGCUCACCAGAGGACACAUUAUGAGCAGGAGGCCCUAUAUCAACGGCUCAUCAGGGAUUUCCCUGGUGGGCCACUGGCUAAGACUCUGUGCUCCCAGUGCAGGGGGCCUGGGUUUGAUCCCUGUCAGGGAACUAGAUCCCACAUGCUGCAACUAAGAGUUCUCAUGCUGCAGCUAAAGAUCCUGCACGUUGCAAAGAAGAUCCCACGUGCCACAACUAAGUCCCAGCACAGCCAAAUAAAUAUAUAUAUUUUUUAAUGGCUCAUCAAAUCCAUGACUGCCCCCAAUUUCCAUAGUCUCCUUAAACAGGUGGUUGAAGCUUGCCCUAUCUGCCUCCAGAAUAAGGCCAACACAAACCCCCAACCAAGGUCAAGGGAGUGACCCCCACCCAGCAUAGAGGCACAUAUCCAGGUCAAGACUGGCAACCUGAUUUUACAGUAAUGCCCUGGACACAAGGAAGUUUUAGAUACUUGCUGGUUUUGACUGACACCUUCUCCGGCUGGAUGGAAGCAUUCCCCACCUGAACUGAGAUUGCCUGGGAGGUCUCUAAGGCCCUGUUCAAGGAAAUAAUCCCUCAGUUUGGGCUCCCUAAGUCCAUCCAGAAUGACAGUGGGCCUGCCUUUGUUUCCCAAAUGACUGAGGGAGUCGCUAGAGCUCUAGGAAUUAAAUGGGGUUUACACUCCACUUGGAGAUGACAAUCCUCAAGAAAAGCAGAAUAGGUCUUCCCUGGUGGCACAGUGGUUGGGAGUCUGCCUGCUAAUGCAAGGGACACGGGUUCGAGCCCUGGUCUGGGAGGGUCCCACAUGCCACAGAGCGGCUGGGCCCGUGGGCCACAGCUACUGAGCCUGCGUGUCUUCAAUGGGUGAGGCUGCGAUAGUGAGAGGCCUGCGCACCACGAUGAAGAGUGGCCCCCACUUGCCACAACUUGGGAGGGCCCUCGCACAGAGACAAAGACCCAACACAGCAAAAAUAAUAAAUUAAUAAACUCCUACCCCCAGCAUCUUAAAAAAAAAAAAAGAAAAGCAGAAUAAAUCAAACCCUCAAAAGAAACUUAGCCAAACCAUGUCAAGACAGUCAUCAACCCUGGAUCUCCCUUCUCCCCACAGCACUUUUGAGACUGCGAAUAGCCCCUAAAGGAAAGCUCAGGUUAAGUCCAUAUGAGCCCAUGUACAUGAGGCCCAUUCCUGAAGGACCCGGCUCCAAGACCAAUCUUAAGGAUAUGGACCGGCAGAAAUAUACCUUACAGACAGGGGAAAUAAUCAAAGCUUUACAUGCCUACGGGAAUCCGGAACUGCCUUCCCCUUUAGACAGGGUUUUACAUCCUUUCUCCCCUGAAAAUUGAUUUAUUUGAAAACCUGGAAGGCUGGAAAUCCACAAGACCAGUUAGACCCCAAGUGGACAGGACCUUAUCUAGUAAUCUGGACUACUUAUUCUGCUUUACAGUUACAGGGUAUAACUCCAUGGGCCCACCAUACCAGAGUGAAAACAGCACCUACACCGAAGGAAGAAGUUACUGAGCCAUCCACUCAAAGCGCCUAUGAACCUGUCACAGACCUUAAGUUACUUUUCAAAAGGCCUAACUUACCAAUAGAUAAGUAAUGCGGUGGGCAGGCUUAGUAGUUGGCCUUGUCAUUGCUAUUGCCUUACUUGGCUCCUGCUGUUCUGCCAAACUCCCUCCCUCUGGCAGAAAUCUCCUCUGUCCAUGCUGGAUAUCAGGGACAUUAACGUUGGAAGCAGGAUGAGUAGCCAUUAUUGUCUAUUCUUUCUUAUCUUCUCUGCUCUCUUACAACUGUCCACAUGGAAUGGGAACUCAGUGCAAUAGUAAAUUUCUCACGGAUUAUAGCCCGUGGACAAAGUCUAUCCCAGUGCUGGUCUGUCACCCCCAACCACAAAGUGAUGCCUAUGGAUUAAAGCCACAGGGUCUGGAGACAGAAGAAGGAAGCUAUAGGAAGAGAUGAACACCAGAUAGAACCAGCUGGAACAAAGGUGGCAACGAAUCUGACCUCCAGCAGACCCUCAGUCUCAUUCUGCUGAGUUGACUACAUUGGCUACUAGAUGACACACCUACUGGUGGCCCUAACUGGAAGAUACGGACCAAGAAAGGAUAAAAAGGGUGUGGCUCCCCUUUGCAGGGAAGUGCUGCCCCUUCCCUAGACUAAUGCAUGUGCUCCCCAUCAUUAGCCUCACUCCUCCUGCCUUUGUCUUUACUCUUUAAAAUCAAGUCCCUCUCACCACAUGGGCAAGAUGAUCUGUGAACUAAGUUCCCACUUCUCCAUUCCUUGGCCACAGAAUAAAACUUGAGCUGCGUCAA